rnacentral:rRNA from 1 species
GGACUACUGGGGUAUCUAAUCCUGUUCGCUCCCCAUGCUUUCGCUCCUCAGCGUCAGUUAAUGCCCAGAGACCUGCCUUCGCCAUCGGUGUUCCUCCUGAUAUCUGCGCAUUCCACCGCUACACCAGGAAUUCCAGUCUCCCCUACAUCACUCUAGUCUGCCCGUACCCACCGCAGAUCCGGAGUUGAGCCCCGGACUUUCACGACAGACGCGACAAACCGCCUACGAGCUCUUUACGCCCAAUAAUUCCGGAUAACGCUUGCACCCUACGUAUUACCGCGGCGGCUGGCAC